CGUGUAGGCGGUCUGCUAAGUCUGAUGUGAAAGCCCGGGGCUCACCCCCGGAAGGGCAUUGGAAACUGGCGGACUCGAGUCCCGGAGAGGAGAGUGGAAUUCCUGGUGUAGCGGUGAAAUGCGUAGAUAUCAGGAGGAACACCGGUGGCGAAGGCGGCUCUCUGGACGGUGACUGACGCUGAGACGCGAAAGCGUGGGGAGCAAACA
rnacentral:rRNA from 1 species